rnacentral:rRNA from 1 species
GACGAACGCUGGCGGCGUGCUUAACACAUGCAAGUCGAACGGAAAGGCCCUGCUUUUGUGGGGUGCUCGAGUGGCGAACGGGUGAGUAACACGUGAGUAACCUGCCCUUGACUUUGGGAUAACUUCAGGAAACUGGGGCUAAUACCGGAUAGGAGCUCCUGCUGCAUGGUGGGGGUUGGAAAGUUUCGGCGGUUGGGGAUGGACUCGCGGCUUAUCAGCUUGUUGGUGGGGUAGUGGCUUACCAAGGCUUUGACGGGUAGCCGGCCUGAGAGGGUGACCGGCCACAUUGGGACUGAGAUAAGGCCCAGACUACUACGGGAGGCAGCAGUGGGGAAUAUUGAACAAUGGGCGGAAGCCUGAUGCAGCAACGCCGCGUGCGGGAUGACGGCCUUCGGGUUGUAAACCGCUUUCGCCUGUGACGAAGCGUGAGUGACGGUAAUGGGUAAAGAAGCACCGGCUAACUACGUG